UAUAUUAUAUCAAUCCACCAGGGUCCAAGACAGUCACGUCCAACUAAGCUGGUGACUUUCCGCCCCGGCAUCUUGUACUUACGGGUGAAACUGUCACUGCCAGACGUACAAGUGAUCCAUCUGUGUCAGACCACGACAGUUACUCCAGGACAAGUGGUGGGGGUGAAGACAGUGGGAGUGACGUCAUCAGAUCUAUUGGUCACGUGGUCUGACGCUGACAUUAACACGAGGUGUGUGUUGAGGUACGAGGUGGAGGUGAGUCACGAGGGGCGAGGCGGCCCCUACACCAGCAUCACCCGUCAUCACCGUCGUCUCCCCACCAACAACUUCUGGUACUCCCUCCCCACACUUCACGGUCCCCGCACGGUGCAGGGAUGGUACCGGGUACGUGUAGUCACCUACUGGGGCACUGUUGGUCCAUUCUCUACCCCUGUCUACCACCCCGUGAGGUAGACACUUGAGGGGUGUGUCGGGGUUGGUGUCUUUUUGUGGGGUGAGACGAAGUACUAGGUGGUGAGUAGGGUAACUGUAUAUCAGUUGGGAGAAAUUACAGUGCAGAAUAACGCUUUGACAAUAGGGGUUUCGUCAGCUGAGUGUGAUCGUCUAGCGCUAGCCAGAUGAAAAUUAUAAUUACUGUAGGUUGAGAGGGAGAUAAAUUUAUGUUCUAAGUAACGUGUUCCUUUGCUAAACGAGGCAUUUAUUAGCAAAUGGAUUUUGGAUAUGUUUGAAUCGAUAUCUUGUUAAAGCAGUGAAGUUUUGUUUAACCCCUGGACUACAAGAUGGAACUUCCCCAACUGAAUUAAAUCGUCUGGCGGUAGCCAGAAUAAAAUAUAUAGUGAAGGGAUUAAUUAGCAAUCAAAACAACCAGGAAGUGGGCACCACAUAUUUAUUGUAAUGCAAACUUGAUGUGAACAAAAGUAGUUCAGUCCGGUAUAGAAUCACCAAA